AUACUUACCUGGCAGGGGAGAUACCAUGAUCACCAAGGUGGUUUUCCCAGGGCGAGGCUCAUCCAUUGCACUCCGGAUGUGCUGACCCCUGCGAUUUCCCCAAAUGUGGGAAACUCAACUGCAUAAUUUGUGGUAGUGGGGGACUGCAUUCGUGCUCUCACCGC
ensembl:snRNA U1 U1 spliceosomal RNA